rnacentral:tRNA from 1 species
GGAGGCGGAUCGGUCCAGGUGGGCCGCCUAGACUUCAAAUCUAGUCGAGCGGCAGUGAUCCUGUCGUUGGUGUGUUCGAUUCGCACACGCCUCCGCCA